CGCACCUUCACCAGCACUGUGCCCGUCCUCCGCUCCCACGUCUGCGCCGGCCCGACGUCACACCGCAUGGCCGCGCAGGAGGACGUGAGUUACGUCACUCGCACGGCGCCCGGUGAGAAGGAUCGCUGCGCUGGAUUGAGGAUGAGAAUGCGCUGACAUAGUGAGGAGACGUCUGGGCGUCACAUUCUACAGACAGAAGUUUUAGCUGGACCAGGCGGAAUACCCCUUUAUAAAGGACCAUGAAAAAGAUAAAGGGACCUUCCUGAGCAUAUCUGGAGUUUUUCUUUUUUUUGCAUUUUGCCCCCCUGGCUAACAUGGAUAGAGAAUCCAGUGAGGACUGGGAUAGCAUGGAGCUGGUCCAGUACAUACCAGUGAUGUAAUACUAUGGGAACGGUCUCAGAUUUUGGUCUGUAAAGCUCAUAUUUCCAACUCACCAGACUAGUUGUGAAUAUUUUUGUUAAAACACAAUAUGAACCCAGGACAAGAGGGGUAAUAGAAACCCAUGUCCUCCCUAAGGCCUCCUACACAAAGGUGUUUGCAGGUGUGUACCGCUCCACCACGGUGAACCCAACCGGCUCUUAUCUUCAGUAUCAUCCACAGGUGUAGAAACGUUCCCAGUCCAUUCCUGUGAUCUGUUUAUUAAUAACUCAAUCAAUGUGCAAAAAACAGGACUGUCAGUACAGCAGCAGAGGACAUGCAUAAAACAAGGACUUCUGGACUAAGAUUCUGUGAAACAACUUGAACAACUAUAAUAAAACUUCUGGAGCAAUCUCUAUACAAUACAGCUUGGAAUGUUACAGCAUUUUAGUUACAAUGCCGAUGUGGUGUCCCAGUAAUGGAGUGCGUCCUGUCAGGUAAACAUUGCUUCAGGUGCCUGACCUAGGACCUGCUGCUUAGGUGAUGCAGUGAUAUUCCCUGUUAUAUUUGUUCUGUUCAUUUAUAUUAUGUUGCCCUGUAUCUUUAAGGAAUGUUCUGGAUGUCUGUCUGGAGGUAUGAUGCAGAGUACCCAUGUGACCCUGAUUGCCCAAUGGGAACCCCCAAAUUGCCCUGUAUAUAGUGUAGGCGGGAAGGAGUUGCCCCAGAUAGUUUUUAGUUUCAGUUCAGCUUAGAGAUUACUGCUGUGCAGAGCUCCAUGUGAGCUGCAGUGUGGAAAGGAGGUGGAAGAAGUGUGAGGUGAUUCCAAGGGAAGCCUAAAGAAAAUCUCUUAUGAAAUCAUCCCCGCCAUUCUGCAAGUGUUCCCUGCACAGGAGUUGGUGAGUUCAUACCCUGGCGGUUUCAAUAAUUUGGACCUUAGCAGAACCCUGGUCAGCGUGUGAUAUCUCCAAGUCUGUCAUAUCAAUUAGCAAGUCAAUUCAAGUGUGUGAAAAGCACUAUAUGUCCCAGCAAGGCUGCAGAGCUCCCAUGUGUUACACUGCAUUCCUUCUACUCAGCUCUGUACUGCGAGUAUUGUAACAAAUGCUCCUGCCUCAGUAACCUGGCAUCGGUGUGUUGAUUGCCCGAGCCUGGCCCAGAAGAAGCUGUCUCUACCUCGGACCAUGUAGGGUGCCCUGGCAUCAUGAUUUGUCAAAUAUAUCUUGCACCCCUGAGUCACGAUACAGAUGUCACAUGUUCUCAGUUUCUCAAGUUCUCGGUCCAUUAUAGGUAAAACUACUGAUGAGGAUUUUCACAGGUUGGCCUACUGUGGUGCAAUAUGUAGUCUCUUCUCACACAGCGGUCAUUUGUGACAUGGUACCCGAAAGUAUGUAUGCAGAGAAAUCUUCUUAACAUGUCAAGCAGCACUCUCUUCAACCGUAGGCCAACAGAGAGUUUAGUGUAUUGGAGAGAGGUCCUUGUUCACCCCCCUAACCUGCCGCACCGCGACCGCCCCCCGACCCGCACCACACCAUGU